AAGUUACAGUCAUCGCAAACUGCAUUCCAUGCAAGUUCGAACGGCAGCACGGGUGCUUGCACCUGGUGGCGAGUGGCGAACGGGUGAGUAAUACAUCGGAACAUGUCCUGUAGUGGGGGAUAGCCCGGCGAAAGCCGGAUUAAUACCGCAUACGAUCUACGGAUGAAAGCGGGGGACCUUCGGGCCUCGCGCUAUAGGGUUGGCCGAUGGCUGAUUAGCUAGUUGGUGGGGUAAAGGCCUACCAAGGCGACGAUCAGUAGCUGGUCUGAGAGGACGACCAGCCACACUGGGACUGAGACACGGCCCAGACUCCUACGGGAGGCAGCAGUGGGGAAUUUUGGACAAUGGGCGAAAGCCUGAUCCAGCAAUGCCGCGUGUGUGAAGAAGGCCUUCGGGUUGUAAAGCACUUUUGUCCGGAAAGAAAUCCUUGGCUCUAAUACAGUCGGGGGAUGACGGUACCGGAAGAAUAAGCACCGGCUAACUACGUGCCAGCAGCCGCGGUAAUACGUAGGGUGCAAGCGUUAAUCGGAAUUACUGGGCGUAAAGCGUGCGCAGGCGGUUUGCUAAGACCGAUGUGAAAUCCCCGGGCUCAACCUGGGAACUGCAUUGGUGACUGGCAGGCUAGAGUAUGGCAGAGGGGGGUAGAAUUCCACGUGUAGCAGUGAAAUGCGUAGAGAUGUGGAGGAAUACCGAUGGCGAAGGCAGCCCUCUGGGCCAAUACUGACGCUCAUGCACGAAAGCGUGGGGAGCAAACAGGAUUAUAUACCCUGGUAGUCCACGCCCUAAACGAUGUCAACUAGUUGUUGGGGGAUUCAUUUCCCUUAGUAACGUAGCUAACGCGUGGAAGUUGACCGCCUGGGGGAGUACGGGUCGCAAGAUUAAAACUCAUAGGAAUUGACGGGGACCACGCACAAGCGGUGGAUGAUGUGGAGUAUUUCGAUGCAACGCGAAAAACCUUACCUACCCUUGAGUGGUCGGAAUCCUGCUGAGAGGCGGGAGUGCUCGCAAGAAAACCGACCCACACGUGCUGCUGGAUGUCAUCAGCUCUUGUCGAGAAGAAGUUGGGUAAGUUCCAACAACAAGCUC
rnacentral:rRNA from 1 species